rnacentral:rRNA from 1 species
CUCAGAAGUGCGAAUGCUGACAUGAGUAACGACAAUGGGUGUGAAAAACACCCACGCCGAAAGACCAAGGGUUCCUGCGCAACGUUAAUCGACGCAGGGUUAGUCGGUUCCUAAGGCGAGGCUGAAAAGCGUAGUCGAUGGGAAACAGGUUAAUAUUCCUGUACUUCUGGUUACUGCGAUGGAGGGACGGAGAAGGCUAGGCCAGCUUGGCGUUGGUUGUCCAAGUUUAAGGUGGUAGGCUGAAAUCUUAGGUAAAUCCGGGGUUUCAAGGCCGAGAGCUGAUGACGAGUCGUCUUUUAGAUGACGAAGUGGUUGAUGCCAUGCUUCCAAGAAAAGCUUCUAAGCUUCAGGUAACCAGGAACCGUACCCCAAACCGACACAGGUGGUCGGGUAGAGAAUACCAAGGCGCUUGAGAGAACUCGGGUGAAGGAACUAGGCAAAAUGGCACCGUAACUUCGGGAGAAGGUGCGCCGGCUAGGGUGAAGGAUUUACUCCGUAAGCUCUGGCUGGUCGAAGAUACCAGGCCGCUGCGACUGUUUAUUAAAAACACAGCACUCUGCAAACACGAAAGUGGACGUAUAGGGUGUGACGCCUGCCCGGUGCCGGAAGGUUAAUUGAUGGGGUUAGCGCAAGCGAAGCUCUUGAUCGAAGCCCCGGUAAACGGCGGCCGUAACAAUAACGGUCCUAAGGUAGCGAAAUUCCUUGUCGGGUAAGUUCCGACCUGCACGAAUGGCGUAACGAUGGCGGCGCUGUCUCCACCCGAGACUCAGUGAAAUUGAAAUCGCUGUGAAGAUGCAGUGUAUCCGCGGCUAGACGGAAAGACCCCGUGAACCUUUACUGUAGCUUUGCACUGGACUUUGAGCCUGCUUGUGUAGGAUAGGUGGGAGGCUUUGAAGCGUGGACGCCAGUUCGCGUGGAGCCAUCCUUGAAAUACCACCCUGGCAUGCUUGAGGUUCUAACUCUGGUCCGUAAUCCGGAUCGAGGACAGUGUAUGGUGGGCAGUUUGACUGGGGCGGUCUCCUCCUAAAGAGUAACGGAGGAGUACGAAGGUGCGCUCAGACCGGUCGGAAAUCGGUCGCAGAGUAUAAAGGCAAAAGCGCGCUUGACUGCGAGACAGACACGUCGAGCAGGUACGAAAGUAGGUCUUAGUGAUCCGGUGGUUCUGUAUGGAAGGGCCAUCGCUCAACGGAUAAAAGGUACUCCGGGGAUAACAGGCUGAUACCGCCCAAGAGUUCAUAUCGACGGCGGUGUUUGGCACCUCGAUGUCGGCUCAUCACAUCCUGGGGCUGAAGCCGGUCCCAAGGGUAUGGCUGUUCGCCAUUUAAAGUGGUACGCGAGCUGGGUUUAGAACGUCGUGAGACAGUUCGGUCCCUAUCUGCCGUGGACGUUUGAGAUUUGAGAGGGGCUGCUCCUAGUACGAGAGGACCGGAGUGGACGAACCUCUGGUGUUCCGGUUGUCACGCCAGUGGCAUUGCCGGGUAGCUAUGUUCGGAAAAGAUAACCGCUGAAAGCAUCUAAGCGGGAAACUUGCCUCAAGAUGAGAUCUCACUGGGAACUUGAUUCCCCUGAAGGGCCGUCGAAGACUACGACGUUGAUAGGCUGGGUGUGUAAGCGUUGUGAGGCGUUGAGCUAACCAGUACUAAUUG